CAGCGAGUUUUGAGCUGCUGUCCUCACUCCACCGUGUCCGCCCUGAGCGUGGAGCCCGACAGGCGCAGUGUCCCCACAGCCGUGCGCCCAGGACCACGGCCACUUCGAGGGCACCCCCACUCUCCCUAAAAGUCCUGUCCCUCCUUUUCUACCUUGAGGAAGAGUCUGUGAAGGACGGGUGCUAAUUCUUCGUUUAGUGUUUGGUAGGUAGAGGCCACCAGUGACCUCGGGGCCUGCGCUUUCCUUGACGGGAAGUUUUAGAACUUCUAAUUCAGCCUCUUUGCCUGUUACAGGCCUGUUCGGGUUUUCGUAGUUCUUCACGAGCCACACUUGGACUGCCUCGUUCGUGUUUCGCCAGGGUCUUCGCGUGGAAGUUUAAGUUAACGAGUUGACAUCUCGUUUCUUAAUCCAGGAACUCCCAGCCCCAGGCUCCCCGUCAGCAGGGCUCUGCUGCGGCCGCGCGUCUGGCGGUGCCCCAUUUUGUUCAUUUCGGGCUAUUUUCCACUGUCCUCGGGAUUUCUCCCCCCGAGUCAUCGGUUGUUCAGGAGCGUGUUGUCUGUCACAUUUAUGAGGUCCCCAACUUUCUCCGUGUCCCGACUUCUGGCUUCGUCGCACUGUGACCGAUAACACAGCUGGUGUGAACCCAGUCCUCGUAGAAUUCUGGGGCCUUGGGUCAGGGCCGAGACGCGGCCGCCCGGCCGGGCCCCGAGUGCGCGUGGGAGGGCUGCGGGCCUUCUCGCUCGGCUCCCUCCCUCGGCGCGCUCGUGGGGAGACAGCCGUCGGGUGUGAGGACACCGGAGCAGCUCUGAGGAGCGGUCCGUGCGGGGAGGAGCUGAGGCCAGCAGCCCACAUGCUGACUGAAUGAGUCGCUUCGGAAGCGGCUCUCCAGCCCCCGUCGGCCUUCGCGUCACCGCGGCGGCCCUGGCCGACACCUUCUCCAACCUCACAAGAGACCCCGGGCCAGAACCACCGGCCCAACCACUCCGGAAAUCCUGCCCACAGAAGCUGUGGGAGACGGUGACUCUCCGUCACCAGAAGCCACCGCGUUUCGGGCGAUCUGUGGUGCGACGUCAGACAACGGACACCGCUACCCGCACACCUGCUGGGUUUCCGGAGGGACGCUCUGGACACGCAGCUGCACUUCUGGCGGAAGUUUCGUGUUUUCUGAGGGAAGAGAACGGAAAACGCGGGUUAGUAAUUCUUCUCUCCUUGAGGCGGCGAGAGCCCGAGGCGCGCACUUUGCGAUGAUGACCUCGAGGCCUCGAGGAUAAAGGAAUCCGGGAGGAGAGACCCUGAUGUGGGCCGUCGCGGGGAAUUCUGGUUUCCUGACGCCCCAAACUCCCGCGCCUGGUGAAGGGAGCUGGUCGGGAUCCUGAGGGUCAGCGGUCAGCCCCUCCACCGAGCAGAUCGGGACUGAACCGGGCGUCAAAAGCGAGGGGCCCUCCGCCCGGGGGGGGGGGUGCUCAGUCGGUCGAGCGGCCGACUCUUGGUUUCGGCCCCGGUCAGGAUCUCAGGGUUCGUGCCUCUGAGCCCCGCGCCGACCGCGUGGAGCCUGCGCGGGCUCCCCUCCGUCCCUCUCUCUCUCCGCCCCUCCCCUGCCCACGCGGGCUCGCGCUCUCUCUCAAAAUAAAGCAACAAAUAAAAACGUGCAAAACAAAGCGAGGUGCCCUCUGCGGCACCACAGGGGCGCCACGAAUUCUACUUCCUGUUGCCGCCAACUGGCGGCUUUCUCUCAGAAGUCUCCUUCUGUUUUUGUUUUGUCUUUGAACAGAAAUCAAAUUUCUUUGGGCUGUUUUAUACAACCUGGAAUCAGUUUUGUAUUUGAUAAAAUGUGGCCCUUAUUUUUUUGAGUUUAUUUAUUUCGAGAGGGAGAGAGCAAGCGAGUGCGAGUCGGGGAGGGGCACAGAGAGAGAGAGAGAGAGAGAGAGAGACAGACAGACAGACAGACAGAGGGUCCCAAGCAGGCUCCGUGCAGUCAUCGCAGAGCCCAAACCCGACUUGGGGCCCAGUCCCACCAACUUGAGAUCAUGACCUGAGCCAAAAUCAAGAGCCGGACGCUUAACUGACUGGGCCCCCGAGGCUUCCUGUGGCCCUUAUCAGUUACGUGAAUUAACAUAAAACACAAAAAUGCCUCUUAACGACUGGUUUCAUAUUCUGUUUAUGUGAAGGGGACCCAUUUUCAGUUCAAUAAAAUUAAUUAUCGGCAAGCCUUACGAACGUGUGCACACGUGCAUGUGUGUGCGCGUGCACACAGACAUUAGUACAUUCUUCUGGAGCGCUCUCUAUUUUUUCAUCAGAUUUUCACAAAAUACUGCCCUGUAACAAGUGAAGACCUCUUAGAAUAAAAGAAAGGAGACGGAAUGAA